GCAUGUCAUAGGUCGGAUCAGCAACUUCCGGCACUCCGGCUGUUCAGAAACUACAUCUCCCAGAAUGCUUCGUUCACUUCUAUGGGAGUUAGAACAGCCGAGCAUGUUUUCAUGCUGGGAGUUGUAGUAUCACAGCAGCUGGGGUGCCAAAGUUUGUUGAUCCCUGUUCUAUCCUUUUGAAGAAUGGACAUACCGAUAGGGAAAGCACACGGAUGAUCCAUGCGCUUUCUGAAUCUGUAUGUCCGUUUCGCAAA